CCGGCCGAUUGCCCCCAAACCGGCCAACGCCGGUUCAUCCUCUUGUUGGUCAUGUCCGGAGAUGAGUGAGGUUAGUUACAGGUCCGGCAGAGGAAAGAGAAGAUUUAACGCCACAAACGGGAAUAACAGUAAGAGGUGUAAUAAUGGUGGCAAUAUUAGGAAAAGAAAAGGUUUGAUAGAAGAGAAGGUAGACGCAGCGGUGACUCUGCCUCUCUUGCCAGAGACUCCCGAUCGAAAGGAUACUCCUGGAAGGGAAUCGGCGCUGGACUUGCUUUCACUAAAGCAAACAAGGAGCGUUCCCACAUGGCUUGGUUUUGGUAGCAAUGAGAAGUGUCAUGAUCGGAUGGUAAUAUCCGCACGUUUUGGCAUGCCAGGUUAUCAGUCUGUGCUGACGCCUCAGGUGAUGAGGGUGUUGAUUGGGUCAUGCGUAACAGUGGAAUGUAU
rnacentral:misc_RNA from 1 species